UCCGACUAACAGUAACAAAAGAGUCCAACAAUGGUAACAAAAGAGUUUGACAACAGUCGAUUCUCGACAGAUCUACGAGGAUCUGCUCACCAUCCCCACUGGAUUUUCCACCACUAAAUAACCUCACAAUUCCCACAAACUUGAGAGAGAAAAUCUCCUCAACAGAUCCUCAAUUUAGCUUUGAGCAGCUAUGGGCACAACUAAUGACAAAGGCCCAAAGAAGGCAGUGAAGUUACAACAUCGACCAUAUGAUAUAAUUGAAGAGUUCCAUCAAGCUCUUGGGUAGUGGUGAAGUUGUCUUCCGGUCGUCGUCUUAAGUCUCGCUGCUCGAAAAGAGGGACAUAGUGAUGCUAAAUUCAAAAUUUUGCACCUGGAAUUGAAGAUCACAAAUCAAGACAGCAAUAGGAACAAGGAGGUGGCUCAGAGUACAGAAAAUGGAAAUCAGAGAGACGUGGUAGAGGCUCCAACCAGAAUGCAGGUGGAAGCUCCCAAAAAUAGCUUGAAAGGAGUUAAACAAACUAGUCAACAAGGGGACAAUGAAGCAAACAAAGAGGGUGAAGGAUGGAAAAUAGUGACAAAAGGAAAAGGAAAAAAAUAAAUACAAGGACUCCACAAAUCCAUUUCGAAAACUUAGAGUAGAAUCAACGUAUGAGAAAGCUGCAUUUUUAAAAGAUGACAAGGAAAAGAAUAGCCCAGGUGAGAGUGAAAAAACUAGUGUUUUUGGGAUCACCUUCGCUACACAAGAUAAACACAAAGAGGAAACACAAAAUGGUAAGAAAGGUAAAAGAAAGGUAACAUACACUUAGAAGCUAAAUCAGGAGGAUCAUAAUCAAACAUCAAAUAAAGCUAAGAGAGUCCAGAAGAAAUGUAUGGAAGGAAUGAGCCCUCCUUAUGAAAGGAGAACAAGAAGCAAAAGAGGAUAUGUUGAAGAAACCAAAAACAAUGACAAGAAUCAGGGAAACAAAAAUGGUACCAUCUAUACAACACAAAAAUCAGAGGAGAAAUCAGAAAACACAAAUGAGAUAAAUCAUAAUGUUGAAAAACAUGACAACAUGGAUUCUGGAAAAGCAAUGUCCAGUUGAUAGAGGAAAAGAUACCAACCAGGAAUAAAAGAGUGUAAGGAUCAAUCAACCACCUGAUGACCUUGGGGAAGGCAAAGAUCAAAAGCAUCAGAAUGAGCAUACAAACAUAUUGAUUGAUAAAAAUGAGGAAGAUGUAUACAAGCAUUAUGAAUCAGCAUCAAGGAGGAGAUGGAAGAAGAUCAAUUUCAUGAUGUCCCUGAGCCCCACCUAGACAAGGGCCCCAACAAGACACUGGAAAUCCAACAAAAGGGAGAAAGCAAUUUAAAUAUUGUGUUUAUGCAGGAUUAAAUUUUAACUACUUCUCCUAUUAUGCUAACUACUAAUGGAUUAUCCUCACCUAACGUGGAUAAGACUAAGGUGGUCAGUCAUAAGAAAGAACAAAUGGACGUGCAGAAUUCUAAUCCUCCUAAUUCCAAAUGAUAAAUACAAUUUCAUGGAAUAUUAGGAGUGUACCAACUCUAAGUUCUUUUGAAAAACUCAAAAAUUUAAAAAAACAAUACAGAAUCUCUUUUAUAAGCUUGCAAGAACCUUUUGUCCAAGCAGAUCAAGUAGGUUACUACCUGAGACUCUUAGAUGUGCAAGGAUCGUAUGCAAAUAUUAACAAUAAAAUUUGGCUAUUUUGGACAAAUGAUUUUACUGUUAAGAUCAUCAAAGACUCUGAACAACAUAUUACUUGUCACAUUAAUCACUUGAUUACAAGAGCUACCUAUCAUACCUCAUUUGUUUAUGCUAAGUACAGGACAAUACUAAGGAAGAUUCUAUGGGAGGAGUUAGUCUUUGGCUAACUCAAUUCAAGGUCCUUGGAGCAUAAUGGGAGAUUUUUAAUGUUAUAGCUGAAGUAGAAGAAAAAACAGGAGGCAGUCCAUACAGACUUGAAAAAAGUUUUGACUUCCUAAACUUUAUGAUGGAAAGUGGGAUGCAAGAUGCAGGAUUUGCAGGAAAUAUCAAUACUUGGUGCAACAACGGAGAUAUACCAAAUACCAUCUGGAAAAGACUAGAUAAAGUUUUAUAUAAUUCUAAGUGGUUGGAUUAGUUUAAUAGCACUUAUGUUACUAAUUUAGCUAUAUCUUGUUCUGAUCACUCUCCUUUACUUGUGCAGUUCAGUAGUAAAGAAGAGGUCUUCAUCAAAUAUUUUAAAUUCUUAAAUAUUUGGGCAGAUCACCCUCAGUUCUAGGAGAUGGUUAAAAAUGUUUGGGUUGAAGAGUGCCAAGGAAACCCCAUGUGGGUGCUACAUCAAAUUUCAAAAAAACUGCUACUCACCUAAGCAGUUGGUCUAAAAAUACCUAUGGGGAUAUUUAUAGUGAGCCUAAGAGACUAGAAGGGGAAAUCACAAUGUUGGAACAAGCUCUCCAAGAUGAUAAUACUUCUAGUAACAGGGCCAUCCUUGACAAAACUAAGGCAGAAUCAAUACCUAAAAAUUCAAGAAGCAAUUCUAAGGCAAAGGGUGAGAGUGAAAUGGAUUGUGAUAGGGGACACCAACACAUCUUACUUCCAUAAAGUCAUUAAGUACAAGAGAAGAAAGCUUAGCAUCAACAAAAUCCUAGAUGAAAAUCAACAAUGGGUAGAAGACAAUGAUGAGGUGGCAGAGGCAGGAAUGAGAUACUUCAAAGAAACCUUCAGUCAGAAACCUGAGUUUAAUGAUUUUCAAAGAAACCUUCAGUCCGAGUUAAAUGCCAUCAACAUCAUAAUCAAUGAUGAUACUAAUUCUUCUCUGAUUGAAAUCCCCAGUGAAGAAGAGAUUAAAAGCAACCUAAUGACAAUGGAUCCUGAAAGUUCCCCUGGGCCUGGUGGAUUCACAGCUAAGUUCUUCCAAUCUUGUUGGGAAUUUAUUGCUUCUGAUAUUACUAGAGCUCUUCAUGCUUUUUUAUGUGGGGCUAGCUUACCUAAAUGGUUAACUCACUUGUAUAACUAUGAUCGCUAAAAUAAAUUCUCCUCAAAAGUUUUCUGAUAUAAGGCCUAUUAGUCUAUGUAAUGUAAUUAGCAAAACAAUUUCAAAAGUUCUAAAUUCCAGGUUAAGCAAUAUACUGCCUUCUCUAAUUAGUAGCAAUCAAAGUGGUUUUAUAAAAGGUAGAUCAAUCACUGAAAAUGUUCUUUUAGCUCAAGAAAUUAUUUAAGACAUUGAUAAACUUCAUGGUAAUGUUGUUCUGAAACUUGAUAUGACCAAGGCUUAUGAUAGGGUAUCCUGGCCCUACCUUUGCAUUCUUAUGAGAAGGUUGAGCUUUUGUGAAACUUGGAUUGAUAUGAUAUAUAGACAUAUUUCUAGUAAUUGGUACUCUCUUCUUGUGAAUGGAAACAAGCAUGCUUUUUUUAAAUCCGAAAGAGGCCUAAGACAAGAAGAUCCCAUUUCUCCUUUUCUUUUUGUCACAAGUGCUGAAUUUCUAUCUCAAAAACUCAACUCUUUAUAUAAUAACACUGAUUUCUUUGAUUUCAGUAUGAACAAAAGAGGUCCUCUUAUCAACCAUUUGGCCUUUGUUGAUGACAUCAUUUUUUUUUCAAGUGGUUGUAGGAGGUCUUUAACUUUGAUGAUGGAAGCUCUAAAUACAUAUGAGAGAGUAUUAGGGCAGAUGGUGAACAAGAAAUAAUCAAGUGUGUCCAUAUCUCCCAAAGAACAACAUCAAGCUAUUGCAAGAAUAGAGGAAAUCACUGGAAUGGACCAUAAGAGUUUUCCAGUCAAGUACUUAGGGUGUCCACUCUAUGUUGGAAGGAAGAUCACUUCAAUCUUUUCAGACAUAAUGAGCAAAAUUUUGAACAAACUUGGGGGUUGGCAAUCUAAAUUUCUUUCAGUAGGAGGGAUAGCAGUACUUAUUAAACAUGUCUUGCUAUCUAUGCCAGUACACCUACUGCCUGCAAUAUAACCUCCAAUGGGAGUUAUGAACCAGAUCGAGAAAAUGCUAAACAAAUUCUUCUGGGGAGGGACAGAUGAAGCUAAGAAACACCACUGAACAUCUUGGGAAAAGUUGUGCUAUCCAUGUGAAGAAGGAGGACCUGCCUUUAGGAGAUUACAAGACACAUGUGCUACAUUUACUGUGAAACAGUGGUGGAACCUGAGAACUAAUAAAUCUCUCUGGGGAAAUUUCAGUUUUGCUAAAUAUUGUCAAAAGAUUCAUCCUGUUAAAAAAAGAUGGUACUCAGGAAACUCACAUUCCUGGAAUGUUAUGUGUAAGGUUAAAGUGAAUAAGACAACUAUAUUCAGUGGAAGAUAGAAAGAGGAGACGUAUCCUUAUGGUAUGAUAAUUUGGCUGUAUUGGAGCUCUGUGGAACUUCCUGGAAGAAGGCAGAGUCCCACGGAAUGAAAAUCUAUGUAAAAUUUUCAUCAAUGGCCAAUGGCAAUGGGGUGAAUGUGAUCUAUAUCUUCCUAACCAUGCAAUGGAUCAUAUAAACUCCAUGCAGAUCAUCCUCAAUCCUGCCGUGAAAGACAAAGCUAUCUGGUCACCUGAACAAAAAGGCAACUUCACCAUCUCCUCGACUGGAACAUUAUGAGAGAGAAAAAAUAUAGUAGCUGGAUUAAUGUCAUGAAUUGGAAUAAUAAAGUCCCCUUCAAAAUGAACUUUAUCCUUUGGAGUGCCUUGAGGGAUAAAACUCCAACUGAUUCCAUACUUGGUAAAACGGGAAUUCGGGCGCCAUCUAGGUGUUGCUACUGCAAGAAUCUCCAGAAAGAAGAUAUUGAUCACCUAUUAUGCUCCGGAAAUCUGGACAAUUUUGUGUGGUCUAGUUGGUAUCCCCUACUCAAUCUCCCUGAGAAUUCUUCUCAAGAACUGGUGAAUCUGGAAAACAAAAGACCCUGUACUGGCAUUGAUCAUUAAAUAUUUACCCGCAGUAACUAUUUGGGAACUAUGGAAAAUAAGAUGUGGGGAAAAGUAUGGAAAAAAGAAGCAUUGCAUCAGAAAGUGCAUGACUCAGAUCUCUGUCACACUAACACAUUUAGUAAUGAGUCAAUAUGUGAACGUGGAGUUGAAACCUAAUUGGGAGUCAAUCAUCUAACUGAUGAGGAGUAACCUUUACAGCAAGAGAAGAAUAAUAGUUAGAUGGCUUUAACCCUCAACUAGUUUUGUAUAGCUCAAUUCUGAUGGAAGAUGCAAGAAUAAUUUAGGUGGAGGAGGAGGGGUUAUCAGAGAUAGUUGUAACACCCCUAAAACGUUGUAUGUGGUGUUUCAAUUCUCGAUAAAAAUGAUACUGCUUCUGUAUUUUAGGUAUAACAUUUCAUAAGAUGGUCCAAAUUAGGUUAUUCAAAUUUCUAAAUAUCUCCGACAUCAUUACCUACAACUUUCUUAAGGACCAUAUCUUAAUAUUCGGAGGCUAAGUAGGCCAAAUAAAUUAAUGUUUGCAAGACAUGGUGUUCUGAUGAAAUAGAGUAUUUGUAGAACAAAAUUCAGGAGAUCGCUUCAGUAAUGGUGCAAUGGCGGCA